AGGACCUGAAGCGUAACCUGGUCCACCUGCGCUCCAAGUACGACCUUCUGAAACAUCAGGUCCGCGAGGCUGACCACAGACUCCAGGCCACCAACAAGCAGAGGGAGAACGUAGAACAAGUGCUGUACAAACAAUUGUCCCAUACGUACAAGGUGCUGCACAAAGCAGGUUCCAACAUGGAGAAGUCGGCAAGAGAGUCCGGUUUCAAGAUACCCACCACUAAAAGAUGAUGCCAGUCCUGGAACCUGUGUACUCGACCCCAACCCGCUAGGUCAUCACACAAACCUCACACCCAUAAUGGCGUCAUUUAAACACAGACCCACAAUGACGUCAUUCAAAUCUGACAAACACCCAACUCAAGAUGAUGUCAGCCUGGGGAUGUGUGUCUUCAUGAUAUAUAGUUCAUCACAAGCAUUACUGGACUUGUUUCCAUCAUAUUAAAACCUGGCAACCAGGGAGCUGAUCACAUGACCCAAUCAACAAUGGCUGCUGUAUAUACAAGGAACAAGUCUGCUGAAGAUUUGUCAUUCAUCUGUUGAGUUGGAGCAUCUGGUUGAUGUGUCAGCUUCUUGGAUUCUCAUAGUUAGUUUCCAGCAUUAUCUGUGGAUAGUUUCCACUACAGAUUAUACAAAGGUCAUCCAUCACAAAAUCUUCCAUUAAUUGGUAUAUGUGAGCAUAUCAAGUUCAUGUUUGCAUUUCAUGUUGAUGAUUAAUUUGAAACAUCUGUCAUGUUGAAAUAUUGAUAUGAAAUGAACCUCUCAUUAGGUGCAGAGUUUGUUGAGCAACUGCAUUUUUAUUGAUUUAAUUGAGACCGUGUCGUUGAUGUCCGUGAUGGUGUGACUGUUGUAGAGGUCAAACUCGUGUUGUUGACAGGGUGUUCCUGUGUUGGCAGAGUGAGCAGAUGUCAUCUGUUGUAAAUAUUGCUGACACUGUAAGGAGCUGUUGCUCAAGUUGUUAUUAUCAAGGGACCAAAAAGCAAAUGUGAAUUAAUUUUGAUUUUGUCUUUCCAGUCGUUUCAAAACCUCAGUGUUUUUUAACUCUUCUUCAUCGUAACCAUUUUGACAGCAUUUUAAUACAUUGUUCCCAACACAUUUUUAAAUCUCACUUAUCGUAAACUGAUGCUUCAGCCUGUUUUAUGUCAUCUUGGUCGUGUGUACUGGGGGUGUCUUCGGGGACCGAGAUACUGUGAAACACUAAGACCACUAUUCCCAGGGUUGUUAUAAUGCUCCAGUCUGUUACUACGUACAGUGGGGCAUAGUGUUACAAAUAGUGGGGAAUAGUGUUACAGAUAGUUGGGAAUAGUGUUACAGAUAGUGGGAAAUAGUGUUACUGUCAUCAACAAGAUGUUAUGGAGCAUCGAUCUUCACCCAGCCAACUAACACACUAACAAUGGAUGCAGUGUUUUCCUCAUUUCGCUUUCGUACAACGGAUGAUAACAGUUUUCUGGCAGUACAAAAUUGUUUCUUUCAGUGUAGUUUUUGUAGAAAUUAUCAAUUCAUUCCUAAAGGCAGUCAGAUAUUUUAAGGGUUACGCUUCACAAGAGCUGUCAAACACAUAUUGAACAUAUAUUUAAUGAGCUUCAAGUCUACUUGACCAUGUAUUGUUCAUAUGUGGAGUUAUCUCCCCUGUAUAGACCGAGGAACUACUUGCCAUCGUGUUAAUGAAUGAUCAGGGGCUAUGGGUGUAUUUAGUUCAGAGGAAUCUUGGUCUUCCCAACAAUUUCCGCUAGCUUUUUGAUACAGUCAUCCCUGAUAUAUGUAUUAUGGAGUGUGCCUGAAAUACGUGCCAGGUGGAGAAGUGGAAAGAUAUAGCAUCCCACACAUAUUAGUGUGAUCAGAGACCACAAACAGACAUGUUAUGGUGCUGUGUCUUCAACUGUAUACAACAGGUAACAUAAAUGCUAAAUGUUGAUAGUACAGACCUCCCACACUUAAACUAUAAAGCUGAAUCACUUCUUCCACUGUUCGUCUUCCAGCAGAAAGUAUUACAGUAUACACUCAAGACAACGCUAGAACCUGCCAUAUUUUUAUAGGAUUUAUUGUAUUUGAGGUCAUUUUGCCGCAAGCUACUGAAUAUUAACUGCUGAAGAAUGUAUGUGAUAGAUCUGUUUCUAUGGAAACAGUGGCUUGGUAUAGAGAUGGUUCUUUACAAUAACUACCGCUAUUGCUGGUUCUGGGAAAGCAGUUGCAUGGUGUGAGUAGAUAGAUGUGUUUAUUAUCAUAUCAUCAUCAUCAUCAUCAUCAUCCAAGCCUCAUAAUGUGUCAUGCUUCCUGUUUUAGCAAUGAGUCCAUGAGCAUGUAUUUUGUUCAUCAUUUUCUGUUGUAUGUACAUGGUCGUGGAUAAGGCUGUAGGGAUACACGACUGUUGUAUGUACAUGGUCGUGGAUAAGGCUGUAGGGAUGCACGACUGUUGUAUGUACAUGGUCGUGGAUAAGGCUGUAGGGAUACGACUGUUGUAUGUACAUGGUCGUGGAUAAGGCUGUAGGGAUACACGACUGUUGUAUGUACAUGGUCGUGGAUAAGGCUGUAGGGAUGCACGACUGUUGUAUGUACAUGGUCGUGGAUAAGGCUGUAGGGAUGCACGACUGUUGUAUGUACAUGGUCGUGGAUAAGGCUGUAGGGAUACAUGACUGUUGUAUGUACAUGGUCGUGGAUAAGGCUGUAGGGAUACACGACACAUAAGUCUCAACACUUGCUUCAUUAAUUAUUCCAUGGAGUGAGUGACGGUCUACACAGGUUAAGCCACUCUGGUUGUUUUCAUUGCUAUUAGUGGCGGCCUAAGAGACAGCUGGCAGUUCCAGCAAUUACUGAUUGCUCGAAUAAUUGACCGCGCAAUGUAGUCUAAACUGUCAAUUCCGCGAAAUUUGCACCAAGCGAAAAAGUAUGUUUACAGUAUUCAGUCAGUUCAAAUCAUUUGACCUAACAGUGGUUGAGAAGAUAAUAUCUUACAUUACAUUUUUGUGACAUGUUAUAUCUCUAUUGUAUUUAUUGGUAAUGUCUGUGUCCCAAUACGACCUGAUACAAUCAAAUACACCAUACUCUCAUCAUGGCACAGUGUAUCACAAUGUACUGCAUCAUCACAACCUCACAGACUCGGAUCUUCACAGCAGGAUGUAUGGACCUGUGUUUAUGUUAUUGUACAUACCUUAGUUGAACCUGCGGACGCUGUGAUAGCCAACGUGUAGCAGAACUCUGGAGAUACCACAUGAUAGGCACCUGUAGCAGCUCCUGGCAACUGUGGGGGGCAUCUCAAAUAUAGGGGUACACAAUGUAUUUUAAUAUAUUGCAAUAUACUUAAUGAGAGAAAAAUUAAAAUAUUUGUCUUGACCUUUGAGAUGGCCCAGAGGUGUUACUGAUGCAAUAUGGAGGAGUUGAGUAUGAAUAGUAUAUAAGUACAUGGUUUUGUUAUGUAAUAUGUAUUUAUGAAGAUAUGCCAUAAUCCUAGUUGCUAUAAUCACAGAGUGUAUUUUCAUAACAUAAGUUAUUUCCUGGUGUAGUUAGUUUACAUGUAAGGGAUACUGCAGACCACCACAUAUUUAACUGAUUGACACAUAUUAACUGGUCCAGGUUGAAUAUUUGGGAUGACAUGUCUGAGGAUGUUUACAACAAAUAGUUCUUCCUAAAUCUAUUCUAUUAACUUAGUGGGUCAUGUGCCUGUGAAAUACAUUCAUCUGUUGCACAUCAUCUCAAGGCAAGGGAGAUAACUGAGUGUAAACGUCCAGUCUCCACUCAACCAGUAUAGUCAGUUAACUCCCUUGCCUUUCUCACAUACUCUUCUAAAUGACUUCUUGAGAUAUCAUAUGAAAUCUGUUGUAAGAAAAACAUUAACCCACUCUGUUGCUAAAUACCUAUUGUAUAGUGUUGUUCUGUCAGGCAGAAUCUCAGUGAUGGUGUCUCAAAUAUCACCUGUCUUCUACAUAUGUACAUACAAUGUUCCACAACAUGCUACACUGAUCUGUCUCUGUGCAGCUGUAGGCUGUUUAUUCUUCUGUCAUCCCUGGUUACCGUAUCUAGGGUGAGAAUGUUGUGUUUGGUUCUGAGCGCCAGGCUGCUGGAGAUGAGGGAAAUGAUUGGAUGAUGUGUUUCUUUCUGUCUCUCCUGUAAAUUGUUCAUGACCACCACAAUAAAAUGCUAUUGAUCAGA
rnacentral:lncRNA from 1 species